rnacentral:rRNA from 1 species
GACGCGCGCGUGUGUGAUGAAGGUCUUCGGAUUCUCGCACUGUCGCGAGGGACGACUAAGGGACGGGCGAACAGUCCGUUUCGAGGGGACGGUAUCGAGAGGAAGCAGGCUAACUCUGUGCCAGCAGCCGCGGUAAUACAGAGGGUGCGAGCGUUGUUCGGAAUUAUUGGGCGUAAAGCGCGUGUAGGCGGCCUAGCAAGUCGGAUGUGAAAGCCCUCGGCUUAACCGAGGAAGUGCGUUCGAAACUACUGGGCUUGAGUACCGGGA